UACGGAGGGGGCGAGCGUUGUUCGGAUUUACUGGGCGUAAAGGGCAUGUCGGUGUCCCGAUAAGCUCUGGGUGAAAUCUCCGCGCUUAACGCGGAAAGGUCUCAGAGAACUGUCGGGAUUGAGUUCAGGGGAAGAGAGUGGAAUUCUCGGUGUAGCGGUGAAAUGCGUAGAUAUCGAGAAGAACACCAGCGGCGAAGGCGGCUCUCUAUCCUGAAACUGACACUCAAAUGCGAAAGCGUGGGGAGCGAACGGGAUUAGAUACCCUCGUA
rnacentral:rRNA from 1 species